UACGUAGGGGGCUAGCGUUGUCCGGAUUUAUUGGGCGUAAAGAGCGUGUAGGCGGCCAUGUAGGUCCGGUGUGAAAACUCGAGGCUUAACCUCGAGAUGUCAUCGGAAACCAUUUGGCUAGAGUCCGGAAGAGGAGAGUGGAACUCCUGGUGUAGCGGUGAAAUGCGCAGAUAUCAGGAAGAACACCAAUGGCGAAAGCAGCUCUCUGGGACGGUACUGACGCUGAGACGCGAAAGCGUGGGGAGCGAACAGG
rnacentral:rRNA from 1 species